CCUUAAAAUCAACCCGCACUCCACCCAGUUAUAGAUUUAUUUAAAUUGAGCCCCUGGUUUUUGCAGUAUAGCCCCCAUAGCCGUUGGUUUUUAUAUAUUUAAUCCAAAAUGAGUUUUAAUUCAGUUUUAAUUAUUUUUAAUUACGAAAAAUAGUUCAGUAUAUCUGCAGAAAUGCCAUUCAACUUGUUUUAGCCAUAACUUUUGCAUCGUAACUCCGAUUUAGGUGAUUGUGGUCGCUAUGGUUUCGUUUCAUCGAGUAGAAUACAGUAGUGCAGUUGCUUUAUGCUUUCGCAUGCUUUGGUGUACUGUUUCUGAUUAAGUUUGUUUGCUUGCAUGUGUUGUUCCUAUGAUUGAUGAUUGUCGCGUUUAGCCAACGAGACAUUCGUGAAGGAAGAGGUACAGGAUCCCGCUGAGUUCGAGCAACCCGACUUCGAUCAAGGCAAGUGCAGACACCGUUUGAUCAUUUUGAACCUACUCAUUAAUGUCAUUUACUUUAUAUGCAUGUGUCCAAUGAAUGCAAACCCUAAGGACAUGACUAGCUUUAUUUAUUAUUCCUUGCUCACCUGGGGUUAUGUAUUUGGGUAGACUAGGCUAUACUAGGUUUGCUUAGCUGCUCUACUCAUCUUAUACACAUGCCUAAACAAGUAUUAGUCUCUACUCAACUUGAUGCUUAAAUUGUGCUGAAUCUUUGGUCACUGCGGUGAUGGCGAUGUUGGAUGCUUAUGAGCAUCGUGAUGAUGGUGGUGACAGGGGGAGCGGGUACCGUUGGUGGUCCCGUUUGCCGGGCGUACCCGUCUCUGCUCUCCGUAAGGACUUAGUCAGGGAGCGGCCCCCUGGGACUUACAGUGCAGCUCCAAGCUAUAUGGCUCUGGCUUGACUAAUUAGCAGGACCUCCACUAGUAGGGUGUUACUUUCCGGGUAGGCGUGAGGAAGUAACUUGGGUAAUGAAUAUUAAGUUGUCGGUUGAUCGGUACGCCAUGGCUAUGGGUAUCGACUGCCGAGCGCCCCGGCAAAAACUUGCGAGUGGCAUCCUAUUAGUUGGACCCUGUGAAAGGUCUCGUAGUGAGACCCUACCUGCUCACCUUGGAAGUGUUUUGGGGAGUCGCGACCCCGGGCAAAUGGGAAUCAUGACUUGGAGUGAACGUGCACACAUCUGCAGAGUGUAAAACUGAUAUAUCAGCCGUGCUCACGGUCACGAGCGGCCCAGACCCUCACUUGAUGAGCAAAUUGGAUUCACUGGUUACUUAGACAUGGACCUUGGCGAGGUUGCUACCUUGUGAUUUUGGCGGAAUGGCUAUUCCGUGUUGGCAGGAUUGCUAUCCUGUGUUAAUAAUUGGGGUGAAUCCCUGGAUUACUAUAAUAAUUAGGAUAGUCUUCUAAAAGAUGUUAAUUACUACUUACACUAAAUAAGGGUUGGGUUUAUGCUACUCAUAAUUAGUAAUAGGUUGUUCUAAUAAUAGUCAUAACUAAAAGUGUUCAACUAAAAUGCUACCGCAGUCAAACCAAGUCAGCUUUACCUUGUUUUAAGCCUUGCAUGUCAUUACUUUCCGUCUGUGCUUGCUGAGUUCGACAUGAGCUCACCCUUGCUAUAAUCAUUAAAGGUUGCUCGGACGAUCAGGAGUACAAUUGUGAUUUCCCUGAGGACUACCCUGAGUCUCCCGGUUGUUAGGCUCGUGUGGUUCUACCGUCGACCUUCCUGUGGCAAGGUGGUCCUGCUACGUCGGCGUUUAGUUUUCCCUUUAUUUAUGGAACAGUUUAGUUUAUGUUUCCCCUCCGCACUUUGAUAAACAUUUGGCUUGUAAUAAUGGUACUUUUACUCUCAUUUAUGUAAUUCGUUUGAACACUGUGUUUUGUACCAUUGAUGAUGUCGGUCCAUGUGUGUGAAUUUGAGAUCCUGGCGCACAUGUGAUUUGACACCCGAAUGCUCUCUUACAUCCGGGUGUGACAGAAGUGGUACCAAAGCCGUGUUGACCGUAGGAUCACGUAGCCUAGUUAGAAACAGCCGUUUAGAUUGUCCCUUUUGGGUGGAAUACACCAUUGGAUCUAUUAACUACCUUACUAACCUGUCUCAUUAGACUUUAUCUAUUGGCCUUAUCUACUUACUUUUACUAACAGCUAGGUUUAUUCACUUACUUCCUGCAUUUAUUACCUUGUUAUCAUUUAUUGCUUUCUAUUUCUCAUAUUGCAUUUAUAUUCUUGUUUCAACUUUUACUACUUGUUAUUUGAACCUUUCUUUUCUACCUUGUCAUUUAUUAUCAUUCUACUCAUAUUACCUUCUUGUUCCUUGUUUUUCAUUUAUUACUUGAGUUAUGUUUUAUUUCUGUCUUGACAAUAAAUUUCAUUACCUUGUUUUCACUUUAUACCUUCAUUACUUGCUUUUAUAUCUUACCAUAAAUACCAACAAAGUUCAUAUUGUCCAUCCAUUGUAUAAUCUUGGUUCAUCUUCAUUACACAUACACUUUUACCUUCAUUUAUGUUAUUCAUUUACCUAUCAUUGUCAUGAUCUAUUAACCGUUUCCUGCAUGUCUAUGAUCUUAUGCAUAAGUAGAUGACUCGCCACCUGACCUGCCGCAAGAGCGUUAUUCGUUUCCGCCCCGUUCAAGCUGUGGAGUUCUCGUUGACUGGUCGCGUGGAUAACAUCGUGUUCCAGCCUAACCAGCAUCUUGAUGACGGUGCUAACCUCCAAGACGCGGAACCCUAUGAAGGACAGCAACCACCUCAAGCUCUGGUGGUGCAUGGAAGGGCGCCUUGCUGGGCACCUGGAGGAGAUGAUCCCUUCGGUGAUGAUGACAUGGAUGAUGAUGAUGAGGAUGAUGAUGAUGAGGAUGCACCUGGAGGACCCGGAGGACCCGGUGGACCUGGAGGACCUGGAGGUCAAGAUGGACUUUUUGCUGCUGAUGAUGGGUGGAUUGUGACAGUCUGCACCAGGGAUGGUGGAGAGUGUUUCUUCCACAGCGAGCUGAAGCGUCUCCUUGACCAGCAGCUGGGACAUGGCAUGUUCUCAGUGGAGUACCGCAGUGAGCACUGGAGUCACCCAGACUACCCGGCGUACUGGAAGGUCUGGGCACACGUCGGCAGGCCUAACCCGACGUUGAGGGCACUGAGGAUCAUGUCCAUACAUGAGGCUGUGGCUGAGAGGUCUACCCAGAUGGCGGGCAUUAAUGAUGCUGCUCGCCAGGCUUUCUACGCAUACCGUGAUCACUUCUUCGAGGAGAUCAGCCAGGAUGAGCGUCGCUACUACCCUCGCCGUCGCCGUGGAGAGUUGGCGAUGACUAUUGCUUCCACCACUGAUGAGCAAGACCCCCGCGUGCACAGGACUGUCAAGCUGGUGGCGGUCACUAACACCGAGCUCAACAGUUCACUAGUGGAGAUGAAGCAAGUCAGGAAGGAGCUGGACGACGCCAGGAAGAGGAUAGCGCAGCUGGAGGCUCAGAUCACUGGAGUGCCACCGCCGUCACCUAAGUGGCCUGCUUUCUCUCCGCCUUGUGAAGAUCCAGCCUAUGGAGAUGCCAGCGCUCGUACUACUAUAGAAUAGGAGCUAUUCCCAGUUUAGUAAUAAAUAGUGCCACGCUUAGAACGUUAGCACGAUCUUAGUUAUGUGAGUCUAUUGCUUAGUGGUUUGCUUAGUGUGCUUUGCUUGGUCUGUGUGAGAACUUGAUUUAUUAUUGUGUUAAUGGUGUGAUUUGGUUCUUUGUAAUGAGUGCGAUGAGUUGUGGGUUAUGUCCACAACGCAUCAAGAACAAGAUUAAGUAUUAAGUUUAUUUGAGAUAGUUAGUUUGGGUUAUCAUCGGUCUCCUUUAUUUGUGCUUUAUCAUAUUUCAUAAUCGCUUUAUCUUAUCAGUCUUACUUUAUCAUGAUCAGUUCAGUAUCUAUAUAUUACAUCUGUUGUGAGUACUGUGUUUAUCAACUGAGAAAGGAAAGUGAAUAUCAGCUGGUUCAUACUGUGAGGAAAGAUUUUCACAUUGCAGUUUACAUUACAGCUCAGGUUUACACAUAUGAACUACAUCUGAUUUUAUUAUAUUAUUUCUAUACAUCAGAUGCCUGUCCACACCAGGAGCAACACCAAUGGUGGAAACAACGGGCAGUCCAACAACAACAACAAUGAUCACAGCGGGACUAAUGCCAACCCUCCUCCUCCUGGGAAUCAGCCCAUGACCAUAGAGCAGUUGAUGACUAUGCAGACUCAACUGAUGCAAGGGAUGGCUCAUAUUAUGAACCACAUGCAGCAGAACCAAAACCAGAAUCAGAACCAACAUCAAGGAGGUAACAACGCGUUUGCCCCACCUAGGGACAAGCGUGGAGAGUUCAUGAAGGGACGUCCACCGUUCUUCUCUCACUCAGCUGAUCCUAUGCAAGCUGAGGAUUGGCUUAAAGCUGUGGAGAAGCAGCUGGUUAUUGCUCAGUGCAAUGACAGGGAGAAGGUUCUGUAUGGCUCUGGGCAGCUUCAGGGAGCCGCACAGGACUGGUGGGAUUCAUAUUGCUUUGCACAUCAGGACCCGGAUACUAUCACUUGGGAUGAGUUCAAGGUCGCCUUCAAGACUCAUCAUGUGCCUGCUGGAUUGGUGAAGUUGAAGAAGAAGGAGUUUCUGUCUCUGAAGCAGGGCUCCAUGACAGUUUGUGAGUACCGUGACAAGUUCACUCAGUUGUCGCGGUAUUGCCCCAAUGAAGUGGAGAAUGAUGAAGACAAGCAAGAUCACUUUCUGGAAGGUUUGAAUGAUGGUCUGUCCUACAUGAUGUCGAAUGUCAAGUACGCCAGUUUUCAGGAGAUGGUGGACAGGGCAUUGGUGCUUGAGAGCAAGCGCCGUAAGAUGGAGGACAAGAAGAGGAAGUAUAACUCCUCUCAGCAGCAGGCUGGUGCCAGUCGUCCCCGCUACAACAACCAGCAGGGCCCUCAGUCUCGCCCCGCAUAUCAGUCUGGUAACCAAGGACAGCAACAGAAUGUCAGGUACAGCAACCAGAGUCAGCAGACGAGCCAGCGCUACAACAACAACCAAGUGCAGCGCCCCGCUAGUCAGGCGCCUCGCCAGAAUGCCCCAGCACCAUCAGGCUCUCGCCAGAACUCCAACACUGUCCCAAUGAAGCCCAAUGUCAACCCCGCCCCCACUAGAAAUACCUGCUUCAAGUGUGGUCAGCCUGGACACUACGCGAAUGCUUGCCCCCAGAGGCAGAAGAAUAACAACAACAAUGGAAGGGUGAAUCAUGUGAAGCUGGAAACUGCUGAGGAGGCUCCAGAUGUGGUAGUUGGUAUGUUUCUUGUCAACUCUUGCCCAACUACUGUUUUGUUUGAUACUGGAGCAUCACAUACUUUUAUAAGUGCACAAUUUGUUGAGAAACAUAGUAUAGCCACCUGUACCAUGCAAAACACCAUGCUAGUUAAAUCACCUGGGGGAAAGAUGCAUACUAAUACUUUGUGUCUGGGAAUGAGCAUUAAAAUAAGGGGGGUAGAUUUUCCUGUCAAUCCCAUUGUGUUGGGUUCAGAAGGUUUAGAUAUGAUAUUGGGAAUGAGAUGGUUGUCCAAGUUUAAGGGUACUAUUCAGUGUGCUGAGAAGACAGUGGCUCUAACAGCACCUAGUGGGAACAGAAUUGAGGUCAGAGUUUCUAUGUCACCUAGCAGUGAAGGAACAGUUUACCAUGUGAGCAGUGGGUCAGUAGAAGACAUUCGAGUUGUGAAAGAGUUCCCUGAUGUGUUCCCAGAGGAUUUGCCAGGUAUGCCACCUGAACGUGAGAUUGAAUUUGUUAUUGAUUUAUUACCUGGUACUGCACCCAUAUCUAAGAGACCUUAUAGAAUGGCUGUUAAUGAGUUAGAAGAACUUAAGAAACAACUAAGGGAGUUACAGUCUAAGGGGUAUAUCCGUCCUAGUUCCUCACCUUGGGGAGCUCCAGUUAUCUUUGUAGAGAAGAAGGAUGGGACACAGAGGAUGUGUGUAGACUAUAGAUCUUUGAAUGAGGUCACAAUUAAGAAUAAAUACCCGUUGCCUAGAAUAGAGGACCUAUUUGACCAGUUGAAAGGAGCUUGUGUGUUUUCCAAGAUAGAUCUGAGGUCAGGAUAUCACCAGUUGAGGAUUAAACCCAGUGAUAUUCCAAAGACUGCUUUCACCACCAGAUAUGGACUUUAUGAAUAUACAGUUAUGUCUUUUGGAUUGACUAAUGCCCCAGCUUACUUUAUGUAUCUGAUGAAUAAAGUUUUUAUGGAGUAUUUGGAUAAGUUUGUGGUAGUCUUUAUUGAUGAUAUCUUGAUCUACUCCAAGAAUGAGGAAGAACAUGAGGAACACCUAAGACUUGUGUUGCAGAAAUUGAGGGAACAUCAGCUCUAUGCCAAGUUGAGUAAAUGUGACUUCUGGUUGAAGGAAGUGUCUUUUCUUGGUCAUGUCAUUUCAAAUGGUGGAGUUGCUGUUAGUCCGAAGAAUGUGGCAGAUGUUCUUAAGUGGAGUCCACCUCAGACUGUUGGGGAGAUCAGAAGUUUUCUUGGAAUGGCCGGUUACUAUCGGAGAUUCAUUGAGGGAUUUUCCAGUAUUGCCAAGCCCAUGACUGCUUUGUUAGAGAAGGGUAAGCCAUUCAAGUGGAAUGAACAGUGUCAGGCUGGUUUUGAGGAAUUGAAGAAGAGGUUGACUACUGCACCAAUUUUGACUUUGCCAGAUGUGACUAAAAGCUUUUCUAUCUAUUGUGAUGCUUCCAAGCAAGGUUUGGGAUGUGUACUGAUGCAAGAGGGAAAGGUGAUUGCCUAUGCAUCUAGACAGUUGAAGAAACACGAGGUGAAUUAUCCAACUCAUGAUCUUGAGUUAGCAGCUGUGGUCCAUUCACUGAAGAUCUGGAGACACUAUAUUCUGGGUCAUAAGUGUGAUAUCUACACGGAUCACAAGAGUCUGAAAUACAUCUUCACUCAGAAUGACUUAAACUUGAGACAGAGAAGAUGGUUAGAGUUGAUCAAGGACUAUGAACUGGAGAUUCAUUACCACCCUGGCAAAGCUAAUGUAGUUGCUGACGCUCUGAGUAGAAAGAGUCAAGUGAAUAUGAUGGAAGCCACGGAGUUACCGAUGGAACUACUGGCAGAAUUUGAGUAUCUCAAUUUGGGGUUUGUUGCUAAUACCCAAGGUACUUCCAUGGACAUAGAACCAACUCUUGAGCAAGAGAUCAGAAAAGGUCAGAAAGAGGAUGAAGAGAUCAAAAAGAUACUUAAGCUGAUAGAGGAAGGUAGAGCACCUGGAUUCAAAGUUGAUCAAGAAGGGAUUGUUUGGCACAAGGACCGAUUGUGUGUCCCUAAUAUUCAGAGUAUUAAGGAUGUGAUACUGAAGGAGUGCCAUGAAUCUGCUUACUCUAUUCAUCCAGGAGGUACUAAGAUGUAUCAGGACUUGAAGCAAAACUAUUGGUGGCCUGGUAUGAAGAAAGAUAUUGGUGAAUAUGUGGCAUUGUGUGACACCUGUCAGAGAGUGAAAGCGGAACAUCAGAGGCCAGCAGGGUUGUUGCAACUGUUGAAGAUACCUGAGUGGGAGUGGGAUGAGAUCAGCAUGGACUUCAUAGUGGGAUUGCCGAAAACUCAACGAGGUUAUGACUCAAUAUGGGUUGUAGUAGAUCGAUUGACCAAGGUAGCUCAUUUCAUACCGGUCAGAACUAACUACCGUGGAGAUCAGUUAGCAGAAAAGUAUAUGGAACGGAUUGUGUGUCUGCAUGGAGUUCCUAAGAGGAUUGUGUCUGAUAGAGGUACACAGUUUACAUCAAAGUUUUGGGAGAAGCUACAUGAUGCUUUGGGAACCGAGCUCAGAUUCAGUACUGUUUAUCACCCUCAGUCCGAUGGUCAGACAGAGAGAGUCAACCAGAUAGUAGAGGAUAUGCUCAGGUCUUGUGCUUUACAGUAUGGGGAUAGUUGGGAUGCUAGUUUGCCCUACGCUGAGUUCUCCUAUAACAACAGUUAUCAGACUAGUCUUAAGAUGACUCCUUUUGAAGCCUUGUAUGGAAGGAAGUGUAGGACUCCAUUGUUCUGGAACCAGACUGGUGAAAGGCAAGUGUUCGGCCCUGAUUCAUUGAGAAUAGCCGAAGAAAGGGUUCAGUUCAUCCGACAGACUCUGAAGGCAGCUCAGUCUAGACAGAAGAGUUAUGCUGAUGUGAGACGAAGGGAACUUGUAUUUCAGGCAGGUGAUUAUGUAUACCUGAAAGUGUCUCCGAUGAGGGGUCUAAAGAGGUUCAAUGUCAAGGGAAAGCUAGCUCCAAGAUAUGUUGGUCCUUUCAAGAUCUUGGAAAGAAAAGGAGAAGUGGCUUAUGAGCUUGAAUUGCCUGCCAGCUUAUCCAAUGUGCACAAUGUCUUCCAUGUCUCCCAAUUCAAGAAAUGUUUGAGAGUGCCUAAGGAACAGUUGCCACUAGAGGAACUGGAUCUACAGGAGGAUCUAACUUAUGAAGAGAGCCCUAUCAAAGUCCUGGACACAGCAGAGAGAAUUACCAGGAGUAAAACUAACAGGAUGUGUAAAGUACAAUGGAAACACCAUUCCGAGGAAGAAGCAACCUGGGAAAGAGAAGAUGAUCUAAUAUCCAAAUACCCUCAGUUAUUCCUGGUUCAUCCUAAUCUCGGGGACGAGAUUCUUUUAAGGGGGGUAGGUUUAUAACACUCCAAAUUUUUGAAUUUCAAAUUUAGUUUAAAUUUGAUUUAAUUUUGGCUCAAUUUGAAUUUUUGGGAAAUAUUAAAUAAUUUACAAAAUUAAUUAAAAUAAAAUAUAAGGUAGAAACGUGUUUGAUUUUUUUUGCAUUCAUGCUGCUGCAUAAUUUUGCUUGAUUUUAUUUAUUUUUGCUGAUGCUUGUUUUGUUUUGUUUUGGAGCAAGAAAAUUUUAAAAGAAAAAAAAAGAAAAAUGGGCAGCGCCUCCCCCCCUUCUCCCAGCAGCGGCCCAGCCGCACAGCCCGCGGCGCCCCCUGCCCCUGCCCCCGCCUGGGCCGACUAUCGGCCCAGCACCCCGCGCCCCUGCGCGCCCAAGUGGGCCGCGGCCCAGCCGCACGGCAGCAGCGCCCCUGCCCCUGCUCUCUCUGCCACCCGCUGACUGGUGGGCCCCGCAGGUGGGACCCACCUGUCAUCACCCACCUCCGGCCGAGACGGACUCGGGGCGCAACCACCGCCCCGGUUUCCGCGCUUGGCGCCUCUAUCCGAACCGUGCGCGCCUCCCAAUGAUCACCGCCGCCUAUUUAAGUGCCCCCGCGUCCGCGUUCGCGACCCCCUAGAACCCUAGCCGCCUCAAAACACGUCGCAAAGCCCCUGCUCGAGCUCGAUCUCGCCGGACUCGCGCCGCUGCCGUCGUGCUUCCCAUCGCCGUCGUCUUUUCGCCAAGGUGAGGACCGCCGCGAGUGCGCAAGGUCGCGACGAGCUCGAAGACGCCCUCGGCACGCCCCCUCUCCCUCCCGUGCACGCGCCCUCGCUCACCUGAAUUAGCCGCCGCCGCCGCAUAGCGCCGCCGCGUGGCCCGUGCACUCCGGCCAUGCCCAGCCGCCGCCGUCGCGCGCAGCCCGCCCACGCGCUCCGCGUGCUUCCCCGCGCCGCGUAUCGCCGCCCCGUCGAGCUCCCCGGCCGCGGCCAUGGCGCGCCGCCGCGGCCCAGCCCCGCCUGCUCGCCUCGCCAAGGGCGCGGUCCACCGUGGACCGCGACCCCAGCGCCCGCACGGCCGGUCCACUGGACCGGGUCCACGCCGCCCCCGCACCUCACCCGGUCCACCAUGGACCGGUGGACCGCCCCCCCUCCUCCCGGUCCACAGCGCCGCCAUGGACCGGGCCAUUCACGCGCUGCCACGUGGCCAGGCCGGCCACGGUCCCCGCGAGCCCCUGCGUUUUUGCAAAAACCCCCCCGGCUUUCCUUAAAAUCAACCCGCACUCCACCCAGUUAUAGAUUUAUUUAAAUUGAGCCCCUGGUUUUUGCAGUAUAGCCCCCAUAGCCGUUGGUUUUUAUAUAUUUAAUCCAAAAUGAGUUUUAAUUCAGUUUUAAUUAGUUUUAAUUACGAAAAAUAGUUCAGUAUAUCUGCAGAAAUGCCAUUCAACUUGUUUUAGCCAUAACUUUUGCAUCGUAACUCCGAUUUAGGUGAUUCUGGUCGCUAUGGUUUCGUUUCAUCGAGUAGAAUACAGUAGUGCAGUUGCUUUAUGCUUUCGCAUGCUUUGGUGUACUGUUUCUGAUUAAGUUUGUUUGCUUGCAUGUGUUGUUCCUAUGAUUGAUGAUUGUCGCGUUUAGCCAACGAGACGUUCGUGAAG
rnacentral:lncRNA from 1 species